rnacentral:rRNA from 1 species
AGUGAACGCUGGCGGUAGGCCUAACACAUGCAAGUCGAACGGCAGCACAGUAAGAGCUUGCUCUUACGGGUGGCGAGUGGCGGACGGGUGAGGAAUACAUCGGAAUCUACUUUUUCGUGGGGGAUAACGUAGGGAAACUUACGCUAAUACCGCAUACGACCUACGGGUGAAAGCAGGGGAUCUUCGGACCUUGCGCGAUUGAAUGAGCCGAUGUCGGAUUAGCUAGUUGGCGGGGUAAAGGCCCACCAAGGCGACGAUCCGUAGCUGGUCUGAGAGGAUGAUCAGCAACACUGGAACUGAGACACGGUCCAGACUCCUACGGGAGGCAGCAGUGGGGAAUAUUGAACAAGGGGCGAAAGCCUGAUCCAGCAAUCCCGCGUGGGUGAAGAAGGCCUUCGGAUUUUAAAGCCUUUUUGGUGGGAAGGAAAAGCAGUAGGUUAAUACCCUGCUGUUUUGACGUUACCAAAAGAAUAAGCACCGGCUAACUUCGUG